rnacentral:rRNA from 1 species
GAUGAACGCUGGCGGCGUGCCUAAUACAUGCAAGUCGAGCGAACGGACGAGAAGCUUGCUUCUCUGAUGUUAGCGGCGGACGGGUGAGUAACACGUGGAUAACCUACCUAUAAGACUGGGAUAACUUCGGGAAACCGUAGCUAAUACCGGAUAAUAUUUUGAACCGCAUGGUUCAAAAGUGAAAGACGGUUUUGCUGUCACUUAUAGAUGGAUCCGCGCUGCAUUAGCUAGUUGGUAAGGUAACGGCUUACCAAGGCAACGAUGCAUAGCCGACCUGAGAGGGUGAUCGGCCACACUGGGACUGAGACACGGUCCAGACUCCUACGGGAGGCAGCAGUAGGGAAUCUUCCGCAAUGGGCGAAAGCCUGACGGAGCAACGCCGCGUGAGUGAUGAGGGUCUUCGGAUCGUAAAACUCUGUUAUUAGGGAAGAACAUAUGUGUAAGUAACUGUGCACAUCUUGACGGUACCUAAUCAGAAAGCCACGGCUAACUACGUG